rnacentral:rRNA from 1 species
CCUACGGGUGGCAGCAGUGGGGAAUAUUGGACAAUGGGCGCAAGCCUGAUCCAGCAACGCCGCGUGAGGGAAGAAGGCUUUCGGGUUGUAAACCUCUUUUGUCAGGGACGAAACAAGUGACGGUACCUGACGAAUAAGCCACGGCUAACUACGUGCCAGCAGCCGCGGUAAUACGUAGGGGGCAAGCGUUAUUCGGAUUUACUGGGUGUAAAGGGCGUGUAGGCGGGGGUGCAAGUCAGAUGUGAAAACCACGGGCUCAACCGGUGGACUGCAUUUGAAACUGUUUUGCUUGAGUGCAGGAGAGGGAAGCGGAAUUCCGUGUGUAGCGGUGAAAUGCGUAGAUAUACGGAGGAACACCAGUGGCGAAGGCGGAUUGCUGGACAGUAACUGACGCUGAGGCGCGAAAGCGUGGGGAGCAAACAGGAUUAGAUACCCCAGUAGUC